rnacentral:miRNA from 1 species
UGAGCCCUGUCCUCCCACAG